GACGAACGCUGGCGGCGUGCUUAACACAUGCAAGUCGUGCGGUAAGGCCCUUUCGGGGGUACACGAGCGGCGCACGGGUGAGUAACACGUGAGCAACCUGCCCUUCACUUUGGGAUAACUGCCGGAAACGGUGGCUAAUACCGGAUAUGACUUCCUCACGCAUGUGGGGUGGUGGAAAGCCUUCGGGUGGUGGGGGCUGGGCUCGCGGUCUAUCAGCUUGUUGGUGGGGUGAUGGCCUACCAAGGCUUCGACGGGUAGCCGGCCUGAGAGGGUGACCGGCCUCACUGGGACUGAGAUACGGCCCAGACUCCUAUGGGAGGCAGCAGUGGGGAAGAUUGGACAAUGGGCGAAAGCCUGCUCCAGCAACGCCGCGUGAGGGAUAACGGCCUUCGGGUUGUAAACCUCUUUCGCCUGCGACGAAGCGAGAGUGACAGUAGCAUGUAAAGAAGCUCCGGCCAACUACGUG
rnacentral:rRNA from 1 species